rnacentral:rRNA from 1 species
UGGGCGAAGCCUGAUGCAGCGACGCCGCGUGAGGGAUGACGGCCUUCGGGUUGUAAACCUCUUUCAGUAGGGAAGAAGCGAAAGUGACGGUACCUGCAGAAGAAGCACCGGCUAACUACGUGCCAGCAGCCGCGGUAAUACGUAGGGUGCGAGCGUUAUCCGGAAUUAUUGGGCGUAAAGAGCUCGUAGGCGGUUUGUCGCGUCUGUCGUGAAAGUCCGGGGCUUAACCCCGGAUCUGCGGUGGGUACGGGCAGACUAGAGUGCAGUAGGGGAGACUGGAAUUCCUGGUGUAGCGGUGGAAUGCGCAGAUAUCAGGAGGAACACCGAUGGCGAAGGCAGGUCUCUGGGCUGUAACUGACGCUGAGGAGCGAAAGCAUGGGGAGCGAACAGGAUUAGAUACCCUGGUAGUCCAUGCCGUAAACGUUGGGCACUAGGUGUGGGGACCAUUCCACGGUUUCCGCGCCGCAGCUAACGCAUUAAGUGCCCCGCCUGGGGAGUACGGCCGCAAGGCUAAAACUCAAAGGAAUUGACGGGGGCCCGCACAAGCGGCGGAGCAUGCGGAUUAAUUCGAUGCAACGCGAAGAACCUUACCAAGGCUUGACAUGUUCUCGAUCGCCGUAGAGAUACGGUUUCCCCUUUGGGGCGGGAUCACAGGUGGUGCAUGGUUGUCGUCAGCUCGUGUCGUGAGAUGUUGGGUUAAGUCCCGCAACGAGCGCAACCCUCGUUCCAUGUUGCCAGCACGUAAUGGUGGGGACUCAUGGGAGACUGCCGGGGUCAACUCGGAGGAAGGUGUCAAA